UACGUACUGGGCGAACGUUAUUCGGAAUCACUGGGCUUAAAGGGUUCGUAGGUGGCCUGCUAAGUCAGACGUGAAAUCCCUCAGCUUAACUGGGGAACUGCGUGGGAUACUGGCGAGCUUGAGUGCAGGAGAGGAACGCGGAAUUCCAGGUGUAGCGGUGAAAUGCGUAGAUAUCUGGAGGAACACCGGUGGCGAAGGCGGCGUUCUGGACUGCAACUGACACUGAUGAACGAAAGCCAGGGGAGCAAACGGG
rnacentral:rRNA from 1 species